CUCUCCUCGUUUUUUUUUGUGCGCAUGCGCGCGUGUGUGUUUGCUCCACCUUUGGCGGGCAAAAAGGCCACGCAACAAACAUAAGCAGCGCCACUGACAGCGCACGGAGCCAUAGGUGCUACACCGCACCCGCCGAUGUCCAUCGUGAGCGAAUCAAAAAAACGGAAAGCAAACACCCACACCCACCCACUCACACACACACACACACACGCGUGCUCACUCUCCUUGGCUGCCAUGGAUGGAGCUGCUGACUCAUAUUUUGCUGCCUCCCGUUCUCUAGUUGUCUUCGUCUUUGGGUUCAGCCCUGCGCCCGAUUCCGAUGCGUCUGGCAGCCUCUCCGGUUUCUCUCCCACCUUCAUAUGUCGCGGUGUGUAUUCGAUGGGUGCCGAUGCCCCAAAGCGCCGGAAAACGUUUUUCUUUUCCUCGCUUCGCUUGCUGCUCGCCUGCCACUUCUUCCUCGUCCUCCAUUCAUCUAAGAAUCGCUUCGCUUGGUGUGAUGUACGCGCCUCUGAGAUUUUUUUCUCACUUUCGCUUUGCCCUUGUCGCGGCUGGACCGAGGAGCACGAUCCCACCUCACCUCAUCGUGGGGGGGGUGCCACAAUGGCACCUUUCACCUUUUUUAUCGUUGUUCUCUGUUGCGCGAAACCGAUGACGACACUCAGCACAAUGACGGGGCACCGAAAGAAGCGAGUCUGGCGAGAUGCGGAAGACAGUUGAGUGUGUGCAUUCUCUUCUUGGUUCUGUUGAGGCGACUUCUGUGGGCUGCGUCCGCUGAGCUAGAACGAAAAAAUGCGGCAAGCAUGUGAUGUAGCCCUCACGGAGACGAGGAGAACGGAAACGAGAACCGGAGCAGAGCCAGUGGUUUCUCCUCAAUCACAUACUGUGCACCAUGCCACCUCGACCACACUCCCGCAUCGACUGACUUCCCCCUUCCCCCACGCGCGAGCGACGCGCGCGGCGAAUGGAGAUGAGGAGUGUCCACUGCGGGCGAACUUCAGAGAAACGGAUGCUCCUGCGGCUCCCCAGACCUUCUUAUCCCUUCCUAUUCUAUCUCUUGUCAGCCUGAAGGGCGACCUUAAUGGAGGCCAUAUCGACUGGCGGAUGGGAAAGUGGCAACAACAAAACUUCCAGCGAGCACGUGCUUGAAAUGCGAGUGAAAACGCCCGCCGCUCUGUGCUGUGACGUUCUCUCCCUUUCUGUCCUCAAGGCCGCAAGGGCCGCUCUACUUUCCCUCUCUUUUUUUGUUCAAUCUGUGCUGGUCCUGCCCACCGCACCGCACUCCGCACGCCCUGUGUUGGAGGCGGGCCUCUAACCUAUGGCUUCGUGAGUGUAUUUCCCCAGAAAACGAAGAAAGGGUGCUACAGGUUUAUAUGCACGUGUGCGUUACGCCAAAACAUCCGGGGUAUCUCCACGGGCAUCCACUUGAGGCGGCAUCUCCCAGCUGGGGUGGAUGCGGUGGGCGCCCCUCCCCCGGCCCUGAGAAAUCGUUUGCCCCCCCCCUCCAUCCCCCGCACAAACUCUCACUACACUUUUAUCUCCCUUUCACCAUUUCCGCGGAGGUGCCUCUCCGCAGCGACGCAAAAAUAUUCUCUUUUUUUUUCACGCUCAUUUCGUUUCAUGUGCAAUUACCUCGCUUUCUUUCUUUUAUUUCGGGUGCCGUCGUGCACUACCCCCACCCGUCACCUCUUUCCUCUGUCUGUCUUGUUUUCUUGGAAAUAUGAUUCAUGCUUGAUUGCGAAAGGGCAAAAAAAACAAGUAAUGGAAGUGGAGGAGGACAGAGAGGCACUCUGUGAGUAGGCUGAUGAGGUGAACACAUCCGUUUUUGUUGCAGCUGGUGCUUUUUUUUUACGCGCAUGCAUUUGUAUGCUUGUAUGUUUGGUUUUGUUCAUGGGCGAAACGGCAGUUUGAUGGAGAGCGAAAGAGAGUGAUUGAUGGCGGGGGUAGGGACGUGCAUGCUCGUGGACGUUCUGUGCUGUGUUGUUGUACGUCCAGAAUAAUGUAUUACCUCUUUUUUUUUUUGUUUUGCCCCGCCGCUUUUGUAUCCUCGAGUGCUUUCGAGCAGCGGUGGAGUUUUUGCCUCCCUUCUUCCAAAAAGCCCAGUCGGAUAGGCUGCCUAAUAAAGGACAACAAAAGCGCCACUUGACCUUCCACAUAUUAUCCUCUCUCCCCUACCCUUCCCUUGUCCAGUACCACCACCUCUCCGCCACCUUUCUCUCUCUCUGCUUCGACUUCUUCCUGUAUCGCUUUCCUUCUCGCUUGAAGUGUAUGUCACUCCCACGAGAUGGUGCUGGUGUGUCAUAAUGAGCGACACAGGGCGAGAAAUGUGGUUCCAAAGACGUGGAAGGGUAUGUGUCUGUGCUUGUGCGUCUUAGCCGGUGACCGUGCCAAAUCUGGCGGACGCGCAUAUAUACAGGACCCAUAGGUACCAGAGGAUGAGGGUUGGAGAGAGGGUAGAGAGGUGAAAGGCGGUUAAUUCGUGCCUUGCUCAAAGACAAGAUGGAGAUGGAGCAAAAUCUCCCUACGCGAGCGAUUUGGCAACGCUGGCGGGAAGGACAAGGCUUCUGUGGAGCAGCAGAGCGAAUGCACGCGCGUCUGCGGCUCGCGCCAGCUGCUCUGAUGGAAAGCUCCUUCAUCUCCUUCGAUCGAUCGCGAAGAAGCUCCGCAUGCGUCAAGGUGGGGAACGGGCCUCGAGCGUGCGAGCCAAAGUUGCUUUCCACGGUGGAAAUGCCACGCCCGGGCAAGUGCACCGUGACCUGGCGUUGAUGUGGCCUCAACUCUGGCGUCUGCAGGAGCGUGCUUCACUAUUAUGUGGGCGGAUUUACUCACAGCAUUGUCCCCACUGCUGUCUUCGCUUCACUUUCCUUUGACUUUUUUUUGGGAGCGUCAUCUCUGCUCAGGUGUUUUCGUGUGUGUGUGUGCUGCUUCCCGUUUCGCCCGCACCAUACAGACGGUGAACGGCAACGAAAAGGCACACCAUCGCAGGCGGAAGGUAGGUGAAGAACAACUGCGAACAGUAUUCAUCACACGCACUGCACUCGCCUGCGCAUGUUUGCGUGUACAGCAACCGAAGCCAACGGCCGCAACAGAAGACAACGAGGAGAAGGAAGCUGGACUGCUAGAACGAGCGAUCACGACAAAAAAAAAGGAAACCGCCGUUAUCCAUUCACUUACGCGUUUCUUUCUCCACCUCGCUUCUCCCUACUUUUCCUCUCCCUCCCCCCCACCGAAUAACGCCCACCGACACAACUCGCGCACGAUCCUACGUGUGCUAAAAG
rnacentral:misc_RNA from 1 species